UUCCAGCGUUACAUUAAAAAGAAAGAACAUAUCCGAAUGCGACGAAAAACAUGUCCACGGACGCGCAAUUUUAAACCAACUGCCAUUCAACCCGACAAAGACUAUGGUCCCAAAGCGUGCGAUCCUGUUGACUUGAGCCGAGACGAAAUAAAAAGAAGAGGGCAAGAAAAGCUUAUGGAACUGCAAGUGACAGCUGAUCAAAUCGCUGAAAUAGAGCAGCAAACUAAAGAUCAGCAUGACAACGAUCUUUACAACGUGAUCAGGAGUGAUAGAUUGACUGCAAGCCAAUUCGGGAUGGUAUGCAAACGAAGAAAUAAAACUCCUUGCCACAAUCACGUGAAACAAAUAUUGUACAAAGGCAAUAUUUUAACAUCGGAUAUGAAAUACGGGCAGCAUAACGAAGCUGUUGCGAGAACUCUUUUUGAAACCACAAUGAAUAAAAAGGUGGAACGUUCGGGUUUAUUUAUCGAUAAACAAUACGGAUUCCUAGGCGCAAGUCCAGAUGGUAUCGUAAUUAACGAGAAUGCUCUUCUUGAAAUAAAAUGCUUUCCUUCUCUGAAGAGGAGCCAGGAAACUAUUGAAGAUGCGGCUAAAACUCGCGGAAA